rnacentral:rRNA from 1 species
AAGUGUUUAUCCAUUGGAUAAGCUUUUGUAAAAUGUAAAAAGUUUUACGAAUAAGGACUGGGUAAGACUAGUGCCAGCCGCCGCGGUAAUACUAGCGGUCCAAGUCGCAGCCAUUUUUAUUGGGUCUAAAACAUCCGUAGCUUGCCUAUUAAGUUCCUUGUGAAAUUUUAUAUCUUAAAUAUGAAGCGAGCAAGAAGUACUGGUAGGCUAGAGACUGAAAGACGUAAAGAGUAUGUUCGGAGUAGCGGUUAAAUGUGUUAAUCCUGGACAGACUUACAAUAGCGAAGGCACUUUACGAGGACAGUUCUGACAGUAAGGGAUGAAGGCUAGGGGCGCAAAAGGGAUUAGAUACCCCUGUAGUCCUAGCAGUAAACACUGCACACUAAACAUUAGUGCCUCUUCGGGAGGUAUUAGUGCUGAAGGGAAGCCGAAGAGUGUGCUACCUGGGAAGUAUAGUCGCAAGGCUGAAACUUAAAGGAAUUGGCGGGGAGACACUACAACAGGUGACGCGUGCGGUUUAAUUAGAUUAUACCCCGUGAACCUCACCAGGAGCGACAGCAGAAUGAAGGUCAGUCUGAAGGGCUUACCUGACACGCUGAGAGGAGCUGCAUGGCCGACGUCAGCCUGUGCCGUGAGGUGACCUGUUAAAUCAGGUAACAGGCAAGACC